AAGUAGAAAGUACUAAAUCAUUUUCCACCAGAAAAAUUACGAAGAGAUCAGCGGUUGAAACGUUGGUCCUGGAUGGUAGGUGCCGCAUGUGGUUACCAACAAGACAUGGUUAAUAAGUUCCCGCGAACGAAUAUCGAUUCUGAAUUCCAAACCCAACAAACUCAUUUUCUUUUAUUUUCAGAUUUUCUUUUAAAAAUUUCAAUAAAUUAUGCUGAAUUUCUCACUAUAAAUAAGCUUUUAGAGCCCCACCAAAUACAAGUCUUUGUGCUUCUUGUUGUAGCUCUCAAACUACCUAACCCAUUAAUCAUCCCACUUUCCUUCUCUGCCAACGGUAAACAAAUGGCACGCAAGAAGAUCAGAGAGUACGACUCCAAGAGAUUGUUGAAGGAUCAUUUCAAGAGGCUUUCUGGCUAUGAAUUGCCCAUCAAAUCCGCACAAGUUACAGAAUCAACUGAUUUCAA
rnacentral:misc_RNA from 1 species